UAGGUCUACACCUUCCUGUGUGGCUGAUUUCAAGCUCCCAAUAUAAUGUCAUGGAACACAGACUUGGAAAGAGGAGAGAUUCCUGAUGUCAAGGACAUGAACAGUUGAAGGACUUUGGAAACAUGAAGUCAAAUUGCUUUGUAGUGAGAUGGUCACAGUGUACCCUUCAGCAAAUUUUUAGCAUAAAGGAUUAUGUUUCAGACUUUACUUAUUUGGUAGGCAAAAAGUGCUAUACCAGUC